GUAAUGAUAACGGAAAUGUGGCUUUUCAUGAGCCAGAGUUCAUUCCCAUGGCAUGGGCUGUAGGGUUGUGGCCCUCAGAAAUAACUAAUCUCUGCAAGAAUUCCCCCUUGGUAAGGGAUUUCCCCUCUGUUUCUGAAGAGGAUUUGGGAAGAGGAAACUGAGAUGGAAAAUAGUGAUGCCACAGAUAAUCAGGAAGGGAAGACAGCAGCUAAUAAACUAAAAGAGAUGUUCUUGUCAAAAUAAAUGUAGUAACAAGUAA